rnacentral:rRNA from 1 species
GACGAACGCUGGCGGCGUGCUUAACACAUGCAAGUCGAACGGAAAGGCCCUGCUUUUGUGGGGUGCUCGAGUGGCGAACGUGUGAGUAACACGUGAGUAACCUGCCCUUGACUUUGGGAUAACUUCAGGAAACUGGGGCUACUACCGGAUAGGAGCUCCUGCUGCAUGGUGGGGGUUGGAAAGUUUCGGCGGUUGGGGAUGGACUCGCGGCUUAUCAGCUUGUUGGUGGGGUAGUGGCUUACCAAGGCUUUGACGGGUAGCCGGCCUGAGAGGGUGACCGGCCCCAUUGGGAAUGAGAUACGGACCAGACUCCUACGGGAGGCAGCGGUGGGGAAUAUUGCAUAGUGGGAGGAAGCCUGAUGCAGCAACGCCGCGUGUGGGAUGACGGCCUUCGGGUUGUAAGCCGCUUUCGCCUGUGACGAAGCGUGAGUGACGGUAAUGGGUAAAGAAGCACCGGCUAACUACGUG